rnacentral:sRNA from 1 species
CCCCGCCGCCUUUCUCUACCAACUGGGAAUGCUAAAACGGGACUGAUGGACGUGUCCGAACUCUGCAUCCCGGACCCCCUCGGCUACCACAACCAGCUGCUGAACAGGAUGUCCUCGGACGACAGGCACCUGGGCUCCAGCUGCGGCUCCUUCAUCAAGACUGAGCCGUCCAGCCCGUCCUCGGGCAUCGAUGCCCUCAGCCACCACAGCCCCAGUGGCUCGUCCGACGCCAGCGGCGGCUUUGGCCUGGCCCUGGGCACCCACGCCAACGGUCUGGACUCGCCACCCAUGUUUGCAGGCGCCGGGCUGGGAGGCACCCCAUGCCGCAAGAGCUACGAGGACUGUGCCAGCGGCAUCAUGGAGGACUCGGCCAUCAAGUGCGAGUACAUGCUCAACGCCAUCCCCAAGCGCCUGUGCCUCGUGUGCGGGGACAUUGCCUCUGGCUACCACUACGGCGUGGCCUCCUGCGAGGCUUGCAAGGCCUUCUUCAAGAGGACCAUCCAAGGGAACAUUGAGUACAGCUGCCCGGCCACCAACGAGUGCGAGAUCACCAAACGGAGGCGCAAGUCCUGCCAGGCCUGCCGCUUCAUGAAAUGCCUCAAAGUGGGGAUGCUGAAGGAAGGUGUGCGCCUUGAUCGAGUGCGUGGAGGCCGUCAGAAAUACAAGCGACGGCUGGACUCAGAGAGCAGCCCAUACCUGAGCUUACAAAUUUCUCCACCUGCUAAAAAGCCAUGUG